AUGGCUGUUGCUUGUAUUUUUGGUUUACUCCCAUUCUCACUUGGAAGGAUAAUUUUAUGGUGCAAGCCGUCUUUCAAUUUUAACAGUGUGGAUGAAGUCGACUCCUAUACUUCAACUUCAACAACUAUUCUGGUUGGAUAUGGAUAUAUCUUUUCUGUGGGCGUAUUUUUUGUUGGGCUGAAUACUUUUCGUGAAUACUUGACCGGGGAGCGCCUUACGAUUGCAAUUCUCUUUAGAAAGCUUUCUGGUAUAUUCUUCAGAGGGAUCUUGCGUUCAAUCAUUGGUGCCAAUAGUGGUGUUAAUCUUUUAUACAUAUAUAUACUACACCCAUUGUUCAUUGGUUGGUUGCUUGAUAUGUGCACUUCAAAAUUGUUUGGUGCAACAAUGUCUCAGAGGUUCAAAUUUCUGAUUGUGCCAUCGUUUUCUUCUAUGGCUCUUCACUGGUUUACUGGACGCAACAUUUUGAGUCUGCGCAACAGUCUUCGUAUUUCUCCGCAAGGUAUUGAAGCUAGGAAUUAG
rnacentral:rRNA from 1 species